rnacentral:lncRNA from 1 species
AAGGAGUAUGGAAAUGUGUUGGAAGAGAGAAAACAUAAGAGAGAAAAUGAGAAAGAAAAACAUAGUAGAAAGAGUGGAGAGAAAAGUGAGAAAGAAGAAGAGAGCAAAGAAGAGAUUAAGAAAAAAAGAGGAAGAGAAUGUUAAGGGAGGAGAUAAACAUAAAGAGAAGAAGAAAAGAGAAAAGGAAAAGAGUUUAUAAAGUCAUUCCAUACCUUAAAAUAUAUUCAAGAAAAGAGAACGCAAUUUGGAUGAUUUAUGAACAUAUUCAAAAAGCUCGAGAUUAGUAUCCCUUUUUUGAGGCCCUUUAAUAAAUGUCUU